rnacentral:lncRNA from 7 species
AGAGACAGUCCCCAGUACCAGGCACUCUCCGUCCCUGAGCACUCACAGCCUGGCACCGUGGUGGGCAAUGUCACUGGUGCGGUGGAUGCAGAUGAGGGCUCCAAUGCCAUUGUCUACUACUUCAUAGCAGCUGGGAACCGAGAGAGCAACUUCCAGCUGAGCCGGGAGGGAAAGCUGCAAGUCCUGCGCGACCUGGACCGUGAGAAGGAGCCCUACUACUCCAUCAUUGUCAAAGCAUCCAGCCAGAGGAACUGGUCCCCACCCCGGGGCCAGCGAGCAGGCAGAGCACAGCACUGGGACCUCAGCACAGAUCUGACCCUUCAGGAGGUACGGAUCUUCUUGGAUGACAUCAAUGACCAGUCCCCCCAGUUCACCAAGUCGGAGUACACAGCAGGGGUGGCCACAGAUGCCAAGGUGGGAUCAGAGCUAAUCAGGGUCUUGGCAGUGGAUGCCGAUGUGGGCAACAACAGCCUGGUCCUGUACAGCAUCCUGGGGAUCCGCUACAUCAAGCAGCACUCCAAUGAUUCUGAGGAGGUGGCCAACAUCUUCAGCAUUGGAACUCUUGAUGGCAUCCUAAGAACCUUCGAUCUCUUCACGGCCUACAACCCCGGCUACUUUGUGGUGGACAUCAUGGCCUCUGACCUGGUGGGCCACAAUGACACAGCCAUUGUGGGGAUCUACAUCCUGCGGGAUGACCAGAGAGUCAAAAUAAUCAUCAAUGAGAUCCCCGAUAAGGUCAGGCAGUUUGAGGAGGAGUUCAUCAGUCUGCUUUCCAACAUCACGGGUGCCAUCGUUAACACAGACGACGUGCAGUUCCACGUGGACAAGAAAGGCCGGGUGAACUUUGCACAGACAGAACUGCUGAUCCAUGUGGUGAACAGGGAGACCAACCGCAUCCUGGAUGUGGAGCGGGUGAUUCAGAUGAUUGAUGAGAACAAGGAGCAGCUGAGGAACCUCUUCAGGAACUACAAUGUGCUGGAUGUACAGCCCGCCAUCACUGCCCACGCCCCGGAUGACCUCUCAGCUCUGCAGAUGGCGAUCAUCGUGCUGGCUGUCCUGCUCUUCCUGGCUGCCAUGCUCUUCAUCCUCAUGAACUGGUACUACCGCACAGUGCACAAAAGGAAGCUGAAAGCCAUUGUGGCGGGCUCCACAGGGAACAGAGGCUUCAUGGACAUCAUGGACAUGCCAAACACCAACAAGUACUCCUUUGACGGGGCCAACCCCGUGUGGCUGGACCCCUUCUGCCGGACCAUGGAAUUGGCGGCACAAGCGGAGCAUGAAGAUGACCUGCCUGAGAACCUGAGCGAGAUCACUGACCUCUGGAACAGCCCAGCCAGGACCCAUGGCACCUUUGGCAGAGAGCCCUCAGCUGCCAAACCUGAGGAUGACCGCUACCUGCGAGCUGCCAUCCAGGAGUACGACAACAUUGCCAAGCUGGGGCAGAUCAUGCGCGAGGGGCCCAUCAAGCUCAUCCAGAAGGACCUGGAGGAGGACGAGGAGCGCAGCCCCAGCCAGGGCAGCCUGCGCUUCCGGCACAAGCAGCCAGUAGAGCUGAAAGGCCCCGAUGGCAUCCAUGUGGUGCACGGCAGUACAGGUACACUGCUGGCCUCUGACCUCAACAGCCUCCCUGAGGAUGACCAGAAGGUGCUGGGGCGCUCACUGGAGACUCUAACUGCCGACUGCGGGGCUUACGACCACAACGCCCGCACCGAGUCGGCCAAGUCUACCCCCCUGCACAAGAUGCGGGAGGUGAUCAUGGAGAGCCCACUGGAGAUCACUGAGCUAUGACCAGCAGCACCACCCAGGCCAGCCAGGGAUGGCGGGGGACGUUCACAGAGCUGGGGGGCAGCGGGUACUGGGGAUCUGAGACCGGCACUCAGUCCCCUUUCCACCUAUCCCUGCAUUUCAACCCAGCAGCCUUGAAGAGCUGGGCCCUGGGAGAGGGCUCUCAGGACUGAUCUGCCCUUCCUUGCGUGUCACUGAAUCAUUAAAUCAUUCAUUUUUUUUAUUAAAAAAACUUUUUUUUUUUAAAUAAUGCUGAGUGAAUGCAAUGAACUCAAGCGUUAUGAGGCUGGAUGGGGUGAAGGCAACCCAAAGGCAGCAAAGCCACGGCAAGGCGUCCCCCACACAAACUGAUGCUGGGACCAAAGCCCAUUGCACCUCAACCGUGGGCACCUGGGCCUGGGUGAGCACACAUGGCCCAAGCCCACCCAGCAUUACUGCUUGUUGUCACCUUUCCAGCAGGGAAAGACCCAACCGAAGACAUUUCUCCAUUUUGCUGGCUUUACCAAAACGUGUUACGACGUGGAAAAAAGAGAGAGACUGACAAUAGCGGGCUUCUGGCUGUCAAGUGUUUGUGUGUACCCCUUUCCCCUCACCCUCCCCCUCUCUUUGGCUCUUGGGUUUGUUCGUCUGGAGGUUGUUUCCAACCGUAACCUUGUCGAGAGUUUGGGGAAUGGUCUGUUACAGGAAUCAGAAAUACACUCCUUAUGGCUUUGG